UUGAACGCUGGCGGAAUGCUUUACACAUGCAAGUCGAGCGGCAGCGCGGGGCAACCUGGCGGCGAGCGGCGAACGGGUGAGUAACACAUCGGAACGUACCCUAUUGUGGGGGAUAACGAAUCGAAAGAUUCGCUAAUACCGCAUAAGACCUGAGGGUGAAAGCGGGGGAUCGCAAGACCUCGCGCGAUAGGAGCGGCCGAUGUCGGAUUAGCUAGUUGGUGAGGUAAAGGCUCACCAAGGCGACGAUCCGUAGCGGGUCUGAGAGGACGGCCCGCCACACUGGAACUGAGACACGGUCCAGACUCCUACGGGAGGCAGCAGUGGGGAAUUUUGGACAAUGGGCGAAAGCCUGAUCCAGCCAUUCCGCGUGAGUGAAGAAGGCCUUCGGGUUGUAAAGCUCUUUCGGCAGGAACGAAAAGGCGGGCUCUAACAUAGCCUGUUGAUGACGGUACCUGAAGAAGAAGCACCGGCUAACUACGU
rnacentral:rRNA from 1 species